CAGAUUUUUUCUUUUUGAAGACAAGAUUAGAUUACCCAAGUGAUAAUGCUGACAUGAGUACGAUAAAGGGUUUAUACCCCCGCAUAAAGCUUAUGGAAUUUACUUAAAGUAACGGCCUCUAAGUUUAAGUCUGCUUACUUGUAAUAACUAGUAUCUUGUUGUUGAUACAAGUAAGUAAACAUCCUAAAGGUAUAAACGAUGAGAAAAUAAAACUUAGUUUUACAGAUAAAAUAUAAGCCUAUAAGGUGAACACUUUUAGAUAGGUUUAUCUAUAUAAGAUACUAGAUAACUAAAUUAUAAUUAUAUAUAUUAUAGAAAUAGCAUUUGUAACAAACGGUGUUGAUGUAAGAAUUGCUUAUCAUCAUCUUUUAGAUGAAGUGAAGUAAUUGUUAUAUAAAAAGCAAUCAAUAAGUUGUCAAAACAAAGUGAGAAAUGCUCUGGAAAAAUGGAAAACUUUGUCGUGAUUUAUAUCUGAGAUACGUUAUAUAUAAGGCGGAUCGUCCCUUGUAUAUGCCUGUUUAAGAGCAAUAACCGUACCUAAAAACUAACACAA
rnacentral:rRNA from 1 species